GUUCAGUCCGGUUUCCCUGACGACCCAGAUGUGACGCAGGCCAGUCUUUUGUUAUGUGUGGCGACGGCAUAGUAACGGCACAGUACAGUUCAGUCCUCUGGCCCAUCUGGUCCUGAUGAUGACUACUCGAAGGCCCCCCCAAGAAAGGCCAGAUGCUGGCGAGCUGUAGGUGGACGAAGGCCCCGCAGAGAUGAACUCCCCAAGUCCCCCCAAUGCUGACGGGAGCGAGCCAGGAUCAGUUCAUCGACCAGACUCGGAUCCGUAGAGGCUUCAACACCCCGACGAUGAAGAUGGAGAGGGCAGAUGGAGGUGCUGGAGACCGGAGACCAUGGAGCAGAGAAGAUGUCAUGCAGUACGUUAUGGAGCUGCUCUAAUGACCCUGGAACCAGUCAACGGCACCCAGACAUUCAGAGCUUGGGAUGGGCUCCAUAAGUGAACAUCCAUGCUGGAUUUCUUUAGGGAGAACAGAACCUCAUCUACCCUGAAGAUCCCUGCUCCACCUGCUCCGCCUACACCGCCAACUACCCAAUCACUACUCAAAGAGCUUCACCCUCUGUGUGCCUGCUGCACACAACUCUAUACCCCCCUCACUUUGUGUAUGUUUGGACCAGUCUUAUCCUUUGAUUGGCCAAGUCUUUCAUUUGUCCCAACCAAGAACGUCUCUUUGAGCCCAGUUUAUGAACUGGGAUUAGCUGGGAUUCGUCCAAGUCUCCCUUCCCCAAGGGCUUAUGUGUAACCAGAUCUAUCUGAAGCUAAUAUUUUCUGAAGCAAUUCCACACUUGUUGCUUCAUAGAUUUACUGUGUGGGUUUGUGUGUUGGGCUUUUGCCAGAAUUCCAUGGAAAUGUGCAAACUAUAAACAGGUUGCUUGCAUUGCAACUCUGUCAUUUUAUUACGUUAUGGAGCUGUGUUGUGACGUUCUUAGCAGGGAUGAGCGGUUCACUUUUGGCGCGAUACUGAAUAUUAUUGGCAGAUCAGUGGGAAUUGAGUUAUGGUUGAAAGAGUAAAGUUCAGCCACCGUGUGAUCGAUAAAGCCAAACAGGAUUGCGUGCAGAAAGUGGGUAGGCUUCCUUUUAUCAAGAAAAGAUCUCCCACUCAUUCCCUCCCAGUACCGCCUUCUGUGUCCUCAGUUUCAUAAACAGCUGUUCGCUAGGCUACUUGAUGCGCAGUGACAUUUGCAGUGCUGUUUUAAUAAGUAAACAUCUGUCGGAUACGCGUUAUCGAUUGGAGAUUGUCCCACUGUGUUGGUGUGUAUUUUUUUUUCCAGGGCUAACUAUAGUCAGUGUUUUGCUUUGAAUGUAUAGCCUACGACCCGAUGAAACGAGUUAAACAGCCUACUUGAAUUUAGGGACAUAUAAUUGAAUACAUUUGAUAUAGCCUGGCAAAAAUGUCUUGGUAGUUGGCAAACAAUUGACGGUCAAUAAACUGAACAGUCUGAAUCCUUUUUGUCCUCUUUACUUUUUACAAGUUAAAGAAUUAUUUGACCACUUAUUGUAUCUUUAUCGGUCACAGCUAACAGAUGGUUAUGCUAUCGGCCGUUGUGCAGUUUAAAUGUUGAAAGACCUGUAAACUAUUAACUGCUUUCACAAGAAGGAACUCAAGAUUAUGAUGCAUUAAAUCAAAUGAAGCUAAUUACUUUAACUUAUCUUUUAGACGUUGCUGUGACAAACUUUAUGGAACAGACCAUGUGCAAAUCUAUUCCAACAUGUUUGUUUGGAACUACUGACUGUUUAUUUUUCUGCAAUGCAUACUUUCCUUAUCUGAAGGGAAACAGUGAGAAUGCAAAUUAUGUUGUGCUUUCUUGCUGGUUCAGAAGCGAGGCAUGUACCAAAGAAGCUUUAAUCUGUUUCACUUCAUGACUUGGCAUUUAGCCAAAUAACUGUCAAACAUUGUGAUUGUUUCACUUGUAAAUUGCUAAAUAAAACUUA